GACGAACGCUGGCGGCGUGCCUAAUACAUGCAAGUAGAACGCUGAAGGAGGAGCUUGCUUCUCCGGAUGAGUUGCGAACGGGUGAGUAACGCGUAGGUAACCUGCCUGGUAGCGGGGGAUAACUAUUGGAAACGAUAGCUAAUACCGCAUAAGAGUAGAUGUCGCAUGACAUUUGCUUAAAAGGUGCAACUGCACCACUACCAGAUGGCCCUGCGUUGUAUUAGCUAGUUGGUGAGGUAACGGCUCACCAAGGCAACGAUACAUAGCCGACCUGAGAGGGUGAUCGGCCACACUGGGACUGAGACACGGCCCAGACUCCUACGGGAGGCAGCAGUAGGGAAUCGUCGGAAAUGGACGGAAGUCUGACCGAGAAACGCCGCGUGAGUGAAGAAGGUUGUCGGAUCGUAAAGCUCUGUUGUAAGAGAAGAACGAGUGUGAGAGUGGAAAGUUCACAAUGUGACGGUAGCUUACCAGAAAGGGACGGCUAACUACGUG
rnacentral:rRNA from 1 species